AGAGUUUGAUCCUGGCUCAGGACGAACGCUGGCGGCAUGCCUAACACAUGCAAGUCGAGCGGAGAUUUGGAGUAGCUUGCUACAAAGAAUCUUAGCGGCGGACGGGUGAGUAACGCGUGAGCAAUCUGCCUUGUACAGGGGGAUAACAGAUGGAAACAUCUGCUAAUACCGCAUAAGACCACACUGGCGAAUGCCAGAGAGGUCAAAGGAGUUAAAUCCGGUACAAGAUGAGCUCGCGUCCCAUUAGCUAGUUGGUAGGGUAACAGCCUACCAAGGCGACGAUGGGUAGCCGACCUGAGAGGGUGAUCGGCCACACUGGGACUGAGACACGGCCCAGACUCCUACGGGAGGCAGCAGUGGGGAAUAUUGCGCAAUGGGGGAAACCCUGACGCAGCAAUGCCGCGUGAGUGAAGAAGGCCUUCGGGUCGUAAAACUCUGUCUUUGGGGAAGAAAAAAAUGACGGUACCCAAGGAGGAAGCCCCGGCNAANUACGUGCCAGCAGCCGCGGUAAUAC
rnacentral:rRNA from 1 species